GGCCCGUGGAGGCACUAGACCCUCACCAGGGGUCUGUCAGGAAAGGCGGGCAGAUACGUGAGGCCUGAACAGGAAGGAACUGGGAGACCCAAGACUGUACCGCCAAGACCGCUUUCGAGUCGGGCCGACCGGAAUUUGAAUUCGUUUCUUCACUUACUAGUUGAUUUUUUCCCUUGAUUCCUUCGUGGGACUCGAGACAGGGGUGCCCUGUUUACUCAGCCCACUGUGCUCAACCUCUUGCAGGAGUGUGCAGGAAAUGAAGGCCCUUUGAGGUCAGGUGGAUGAGGAUGUCAGUGUGAAGAUGGACACUGUGCCUGGAGUGAACCUGAGCUGGAUCCUGAAUGAGAUGCAUGACCAGGACAAGAAAUUGGUGGAGAAGAGCUACAAGGAUGCCAAGGGCUGGUUCUUCAGCAUGAGAGAGGGGCUGAACUGCGAGGUGGUCACCAACACAGAGGCCCUGCAGAGCGGCAGGAUGGAGAUACGGAGCUCUACAUCUCUGUGCAGAACCUGAGACAUUCCAGCUCAGCAAGGUGUGUUACGGGACCCAGCUGGCCCAGCUGCAGGGGCUCAUCAGAAGCAUGGAGCAGCAGCUGUGCGAGCUCUGCUGCGACGCGGAGCACCGGGACCACGAGCACCAGGUCCUUCUGGACGUGAAGACACAGCUGGAGCAGGAGAUCGCCACCUACAGCCACUUGCUAGAGGUUGAGGACGCUCAGAGGUGAAACUGACGAUGCAGGCUGGAGUCUGACUGAGGAGCCUUGACUGCCAAGUUAAAGCGUCUGGACUAGAUCACGUAGGCAAUGGGGAGCCAUGGAGGGAUUUGGAGCUGAAGAGAGGAAUGAACAUCAAGAUAUUUUAGAACAUUCACUCUGGCUGCAGAGGGAGAAAUGGAUCAGAGGGGUCAGGGUGGGGCCAGAGAGAUGCGUCAGGGGGCUGGAGCAGGGAGUCUGGCCAGAGAAGUCCUGCGGGGUGGAGGGUGGGUCGGUGGGGUGGCAGGGGAAGGAAGGUGGUGCACGCAGAAGAGAGGUUAUAGCUCAAAACAGCAGGACUGGAUGCCUGGAUCUCAGGGUAAGCGUGACUUGCAGUCAGGACUCAGUAAGUGUGGGGUGAACACAUGAAGGAGUGGGCAUUGAUGGCCCUGGAUUUCUGGUUCCGAUGACUGUGUGAGUGGUGACACCAUCAGCCACAGGGUGAAGAGCAAGGUGGGUGGUGGUCGGGUUUGCAGGUGGGAAGGGUGAUCAGGCCUUCAGCUGGCAGUGUCCUGGAGUCUCCAUGCUUAGUCACACGUUGCAGCUUUUUGCUCCCCGAAAAGGUUUUUCCAUCAAGGUUUUUCCAAAGG